GUGAGGAAUAUUGCGCAAUGGAGGCAACUCUGACGCAGCCAUGCCGCGUGCAGGAAGAAGGCGCUACGCGUUGUAAACUGCUUUUAACCGGGAAGAAACCCCAGGACGUGUCCUGGGUUGACGGUACCGGAGGAAUAAGCACCGGCUAACUUCGUGCCAGCAGCCGCGGUAAUACGAAGGGUGCAAGCGUUAUCCGGAUUUAUUGGGUUUAAAGGGUGCGUAGGCGGAGCGUUAAGUCAGUGGUGAAAUCCUGCAGCGUAACUGUAGACUUGCCAAUGAUACUGGAGAUCUUGAGUGCGCUUGAAGUGGGCGGAAUGUGCCGUGUAGCGGUGAAAUGCUUAGAUAUGGCACAGAACACCAAUUGCGAAGGCAGCUCACUAAGGCGAUACUGACGCUGAGGCACGAAAGCGUGGGGAUCGAACAGGAUUAGAAACCCCUGUAGUCC
rnacentral:rRNA from 1 species